GCUACAUAAUAUUCACUUUGGUUACAUACAUUGGCUAAUGAAUUUUUCAUUAUUUACUUGGGACCAUUUUAACUCAACAACAUACAACACCUGCUGCAAUGAACAUGUCUCGUGUUCAUAUACUUUAUGGAACUGUUUCUAUUUGUAACUGUGCAUACUCUUCCUUCAUUCGGGUCUCGCAUCAUCUGAAACUUCAAAUUGACUCCAGCCGCUCAUCACAUGUUUAAUUUCAAAAUACAUUUGCUAUCGUUUAGUAGCUUUUCUCCCUGACACUAUAUGGUGUGUCAGCUUCUACUCUAGAAGCUUUGCCUGUUUAUAUGAAGAUGCAAGAAGAUGGGUUUUUAAGAACGAAACAAGAGAUUCUGAGCUAAAAAUUUGUUACCUGGCUUUCCCACAGGGUGAAGUACCCCUUUAACAUUGUGCUCCACUCUCUUUUAAUUUGUUCCUCCGGAGUCUGUUNNN
rnacentral:lncRNA from 1 species